GGGCGUAAAGGGCUCGCAGGGGGGUUUCUUAAGUCUGAUGUGGAAAGCCCCCGGCUCAACCGGGGAGGGUCAUUGGAAACUGGGAAACUUGAGUGCAGAAGAGGAGAGUGGAAUUCCACGUGUAGCGGUGAAAUGCGUAGAGAUGUGGAGGAACACCAGUGGCGAAGGCGACUCUCUGGUCUGUAACUGACGCUGAGGAGCGAAAGCGUGGGGAGCGAACAGGAUUAGAUACCCUGGUAGUCCACGCCGUAAACGAUGAGUGCUAAGUGUUAGGGGGUUUCCGCCCCUUAGUGCUGCAGCUAACGCAUUAAGCACUCCGCCUGGGGAGUACGGUCGCAAGACUGAAACUCAAAGGAAUUGACGGGGGCCCGCACAAGCGGUGGAGCAUGUGGUUUAAUUCGAAGCAACGGAAGAACCU
rnacentral:rRNA from 1 species